rnacentral:rRNA from 1 species
UACAGAGGUGGCAAGCGUUGUUCGGAAUUACUGGGCGUAAAGGGCGCGUAGGCGGCUUGGUCAGUCCCGUGUGAAAUCCCUUGGCUCAACUGAGGAACUGCACGGGAAACUGCCUGGCUUGAGUUCGGGAGAGGGAAGCGGAAUUCCGGGUGUAGCGGUGAAAUGCGUAGAUAUCCGGAGGAACACCGGUGGCGAAGGCGGCUUCCUGGACCGACACUGACGCUGAGGCGCGAAAGCUAGGGGAGCAAACGGG